rnacentral:tRNA from 1 species
ACAUUGGUAGCUCAGUGGUAGAAUUCUUGCCUUCCACGCAGAAGUCCUGGGUUCAAUUCCUGGCCAGUGCA